CCUCUACUCUGCAAAAACAAAAGCUUAUUUAUUUGAGGAAGUCACAUGUUUUCCAUAAAAAUGAACUUACGCAUGAAAAAGACAACUUCCAAAAAAUCAUCCUUCUAUAAUCUUGGCUUUGUUUUUUGUAUAUGUUGGUUGUUUUAAAAUUUUUCUUUGAAAGUCACACACUUAGAAGUCUUAUGAAAAUCAAAAUGUCAACAUUGUCACAUUGAUCAUCUUACAGUUCUCGUGAUUGCCAUUAACAACAGUGUUUAUGAAGUACACAACUGCCCACAGUUUUCAAUGGAGCGCAAUCUCUGGUGACUUUUUUCCAAAUAAAGUGUUGCCACAUACACUCUAUUUAGUUCUCGAGAUAAUACUUUGAGGUAUUCCUCUCUUACAGGUAAAGCAAGUAGUGUUUGACUUCAAGGUGUUAGUUUCCAAACAUCACCGAGUUCUUUGUAUGAUCGAAGGGCCUGACUGCUCAUCUGCUAUGCCUGACAGGUUUACUGUUAUUGAUGUCAGAAGCUCUUCCUCUAAGGGAUCCUCUUGGGUAAGGUAGUGUCACCAAGGCAUGACUUUAACAUUCUACACAAAUUAUGGUCACUAUAGAGAUAACUAUGGGCUUCUCCUGUGGGGGUGAAAUCUGUACACAUCUCUGAAUCUACCUGAGAAAAAAUGGGGCAAUCGGAGUACUCUCACAAAAAUACUCUGAACAAUGACAUUACUGAUACUAUUACUGAGGGGAGUGUGUUCAGGAGACAAGAGCCCUCUACCGAGAACAUCCUGCUUCCAAUUCAAAUCUCAGAGUAGAACACCAAACAAGAUCACUACUUAGCCGUGUUUGUAUGUGUUGUUGUUUCUUAUCUUUCAAUUUGAGGGGCAAUGCUGUUUCAUUAAAG
rnacentral:lncRNA from 1 species